UUGAUUCGGUUCGGUUCAGUUCAAUUGAUUUUUUUUUCUUCAUAACCGAACCAAACUGAAAUAACCGAAAUUUUUAAAAUUUUAAAUCGAACUGAACCGAGUUACUUUAAAAGUCGAACCGAAUUAGGGCGGUUCGGUUCAGUUUCUUUGGUUCAAACCAAAUAGUGCUCAUCCCUAUGUGCAACUCAAUAUUGGCUUGUGGAGGCAAUGUAAUGCAUGCAUAACUUUUAGCACUGCAUGUGAUAGUGUUUUUGUGCUUUUCCAGAAAUGUUUACGUGUGUGCGCAUGAGAGAGAGAG
rnacentral:misc_RNA from 1 species